rnacentral:rRNA from 1 species
AGUGAACGCUGGCGGCGUGCCUAACACAUGCAAGUCGAACGAUGAUGGAUGAGCUUGCUCAUCCUGAUUAGUGGCGCACGGGUGAGUAUACCAUAGAUAAUGUACCCCUUAGUUCGGGAUAGCCACUGGAAACGGUGAUUAAUACCGGAUACUCCUUCUUGCCAUAAGGUAAGUCGGGAAAGUUUUUUCGCUAAGGGAUCAGUCUAUGUCCUAUCAGGUAGUUGGUGAGGUAACGGCUCACCAAGCCUAUGACGGGUAUCUGGUUUGAGAGGAUGAUCAGACACACUGGAACUGAGACACGGUCCAGACUCCUACGGGAGGCAGCAGUGAGGAAUAUUGCACAAUGGAGGAAACUCUGAUGCAGCAACGCCGCGUGGAGGAUGACGCAUUUCGGUGUGUAAACUCCUUUUAAGAGGGAAGAUUAUGACGGUACCUCUUGAAUAAGCACCGGCUAACUCCGUGCCAGCAGCCGCCGUAA